rnacentral:rRNA from 1 species
AUAUCUGAUUAGCUAGUUGGUAGGGUAAAAGCCUACCAAGGCAUCGAUCAGUAGCUGGUCUGAGAGGACGACCAGCCACACUGGAACUGAGACACGGUCCAGACUCCUACGGGAGGCAGCAGUGGGGAAUUUUGGACAAUGGGCGAAAGCCUGAUCCAGCAAUGCCGCGUGAGUGAAGAAGGCCUUCGGGUUGUAAAGCUCUUUUGUCAGGGAAGAAACGGUGAAAGCUAAUAUCUUUUGCUAAUGACGGUACCUGAAGAAUAAGCACCGGCUAACUACGUGCCAGCAGCCGCGGUAAUACGUAGGGUGCAAGCGUUAAUCGGAAUUACUGGGCGUAAAGCGUGCGCAGGCGGUUUUGUAAGUCUGAUGUGAAAUCCCCGGGCUCAACCUGGGAAUUGCAUUGGAGACUGCAAGGCUAGAAUCUGGCAGAGGGGGGUAGAAUUCCACGUGUAGCAGUGAAAUGCGUAGAUAUGUGGAGGAACACCGAUGGCGAAGGCAGCCCCCUGGGUCAAGAUUGACGCUCAUGCACGAAAGCGUGGGGAGCAAACAGGAUUAGAUACCCUGGUAGUCCACGCCCUAAACGAUGUCUACUAGUUGUCGGGUCUUAAUUGACUUGGUAACGCAGCUAACGCGUGAA